rnacentral:misc_RNA from 1 species
GUUGGUAUGCAUGUAAUGGUUGAAAUUCUGGCUAAACGUGAUCCUUACAGGUUUCGGUUCCCUAUUGAGAUGCGCUUUGUUGAUCCUAACAUAGAUCACCUAAUCUUUAAUAGAUUUGAUUUUCCGCCUAUAUUUCAUCGUGAAGAGGAUACAAAUCUAGAUGAAUUGCGUCGUGACUGUGGAAGACAACCUAUUCCUAGAAAAGACCCUGGA